GCAGUCGUGGACUGGUUAGGGUUUCAGGCUUGUAACCAGAGGGUUCCUGGUUCAAUCCCUGACCAGUGGG
rnacentral:tRNA from 1 species